AUUUUAAUAAAAGAAUUAUUUGUUUUGUUAAAUGAAAAUAUUCUUGGGAAUCAUUGAUUUUAGUAUAUAUUGAAUUUAUUGUAUUAUAAUUAUAGUUUAAUUUUACAGUGAUGGGUGUUUGAAAUAAAUUGAAAAUUAUAUUUUAAGGUAGAAGAUUAUUUGUACCUUUUGUAUCAGGGUUUAUUAAAUAUGAUAUAUUUAUUUUAUUUUUCUCGAAUUGAGGAGAGUUACUUAUAUAUUAUUGUUAUUGUGGUAUAAAUAUAUUGAAUAUAUAAGUGGUAGUGAUAUGUUAUUCGUUCUUCAAGAUAUCUAGUUUUCUAAGAUUGUAAUUUAAUUUCGAUGUUGAUUUUAUUAUGAUUUAUUUAUUGGAAUUAUAAUAUAUCAAUAUUAAUUGUUUGGGGGAUAAGCUCGAAAUAAAUUGAUUUAUAUGUAUAUAGUUUUUUCUUAAAUGUGGGCUUUAAGUUAGCCAUUAUUUUUGAGUGUGUUAUAAUUUUUGAUAAUUAUUAUUUGUAUUUAUAUUAAAUUUUUAUUAGAAUGUUUUGAUUAAUAAAUUAUUUUAGGUAAUAAUGAUGUAAUUAGUAAAUUUUAUUGUUUAUUUUAUAUAAGGUUUUAUUUAUUUUAAGGAAUUAGGCAAAUAUAUUGUUCGCCUGUUUAUCAAAAACAUGUCUUCUUGUAUUUAUCUGAAGUCGUGCCUGCCCACUGAAUAAUUUAAAGGGCCGCGGUAUUUUGACCGUGCAAAGGUAGCAAAAUCAUUAGUCUCUUAAUUGGUGGCUGGAAUGAAUGGUUUGACGAAACAAUAACUGUCUCGGAAUUAUGAAUUGAAUUUUACUUUUAAGUUAAAAGGCUUAAAUGAUGAUAGGGGACGAGAAGACCCUAUAGAUCUUUAUAAUAAAUUUAUAGUUUUUUAUUUGGUUAAUUUAUUUAAAUCUAUGGAUUUUUUAUUUCGUUGGGGUGACGAAAGAAUAAAAUAACUUCUUUAUUAAUUAACUAUGAUGAUUGGUUAUAUGAUCCUUUAUAUAUGGAAUUAAGAUUAAGAUACCUUAGGGAUAACAGCGUAAUUUUGUUGAAGAGUUCUUAUCGAUAAUGAAGAUUGCGACCUCGAUGUUGGAUUAAGAAUAUUGCUGGAUGCAGAAGUUCAGGUUAGUUGGUCUGUUCGACCAUUAAAUUCUUACAUGAUCUGAGUUCAAACCGGUGUGAGCCAGGUUGGUUUCUAUCUCUAUUAAAAGUUUAUGUUUUAGUACGAAAGGACCAAACAUAUUAAAUAGUUUAUUUUUUUAGAAUUUCAUUAAU
rnacentral:rRNA from 1 species